GUCCACGCCCUAAACGAUGUCAACUGGUUGUUGGGAAUUUAUUUUCUCAGUAACGAAGCUAACGCGUGAAGUUGACCGCCUGGGGAGUACGGCCGCAAGGUUAAAACUCAAAGGAAUUGACGGGGACCCGCACAAGCGGUGGAUGAUGUUCUUUAAUUCGAUGCAACGCGAAAAACCUUACCCACCUUUGACAUGUAUGGAAUCCUUUAGAGAUGAAGGAGUGCUCGAAAGAGAACCAUAACACAGGUGCUGCAUGGCUGUCGU
rnacentral:rRNA from 1 species